GCCAGUGUGGUGAAGUGGUUUGAGCCUUUGAUUUCAACUCUGGAGACCAGGGUUCGAAUCCCUGCUCAGUCA